rnacentral:lncRNA from 1 species
UGAUUAACCUUUAUUUAUGGAUAAAUUCAAUCUUUUUCAUUCUAUCUUAUAAUAUAAAACUAUUGUACAAUUUUCUAAUAAUUCAUAUUCUGUUUUUAAAUGAUGAUUUCCAUUGUAGUCCAUUUUCCAUCUAUAUUCAAGUACCUUGAAUCACCAUGAGACUUACAAGAAAAUAGUCCUCAAGCAAAACUGCAUAACAAGCCACUUCACUUGUUGGGGCAACAAUAGUCACUUAAUAAAGAAAAAAAAUAAUGUGCAAAAACAUGCUUCUAUAAAGGAUCCAAAUCAGCAUCCUCUUGAAGAUUUCACGGGUGAUACAGUGGAUUGAUGUGAAGCAAAUUCUGAGACCACGAUGUCUACCCGAAGGAGGGUUCUCCAAGAAACUUUUGGGCAAAUUUGAAAAGACAUCUGGGGAUGUUUGAAGUUUGCCUCCUGGGGAAAAAAAAACAUUCAGUGUUCCUGGUUUUCAGUAAUGCUGCAAGAUAUUCUAAUAGGAACCAAAAGACACCCUCUUCCACAUCCACCAUGUCAGCCUAUUUUUGAUCAAGACAUUCCCAGGACUGAUCAGAAAGAAAAGUGAUAUUCAUGCCAUCCAAAUUCUGAGGGAUGCAUCUACCAUAACUUUGAGAUCUUAAGAAAAAGUAAAGAAGCUCUUUUAACAGGUAUGGCAAAAUAUUUGUGUUAUGACCGUGUUUUUGUGCACCCAGCUAGGAAAAGCAAACUCCUGCAAAUCUUGCAGAUUCAAGAUGUGUCUGUGUUUGUCUCUGAUGCAUUUUUUUAAAACCUUUUUUCUUUUCAAAUGUUAAUUCCCCCAGUAGAGAUAAUCUGUUCCCUUUCAUGUCUCCCCCUUGGGCAAUACAUUUCGAAGAUUAAUAUAAUAUGGAUAACAUGCCUGUGUGUCUUGCCUAAUUCAAAAUGCUGAGGAUAUUAUUUCUGGUUUAGGGAGUUUGGAGAAAUUUAUAUCUAGGAGGUUUGGAAUGCUCAGUUAUCAGAGAAGUUUUGCUGCAUCCCUGGCCCUGGCAGUUUGCCCAAGUUCCUAGCAGGUCAUUAAUAAAGGCUACAAUUGCUCUUACA